AGGGAAUCUUCCACAAUGGACGCAAGUCUGAUGGAGCAACGCCGCGUGAGUGAAGAAGGCUUUCGGGUCGUAAAACUCUGUUAUUGAAGAAGAACGUGUGUGACAGUAACUGGUCAUGCAGUGACGGUAUUCAAUCAGAAAGUCACGGCUAACUACGUGCCAGCAGCCGCGGUAAUACGUAGGUGGCAAGCGUUGUCCGGAUUUAUUGGGCGUAAAGCGAGUGCAGGCGGUCUUUUAAGUCUGAUGUGAAAGCCUUCGGCUUAACCGAAGAAGGGCAUCGGAAACUGGGAGACUUGAGUGCAGAAGAGGAGAGUGGAACUCCAUGUGUAGCGGUGAAAUGCGUAGAUAUAUGGAAGAACACCAGUGGCGAAGGCGGCUCUCUGGUCUGUAACUGACGCUGAGGCUCGAAAGCGUGGGUAGCAAACAGGAUUAGAUACCCUGGUA
rnacentral:rRNA from 1 species